rnacentral:rRNA from 1 species
UCUUGGUCAUUUAGAGGAAGUAAAAGUCGUAACAAGGUCUCCGUUGGUGAACCAGCGGAGGGAUCAUUAUCGAGUUAUUCAACUCCCAAACCCUAUGUGAACUUACCACUUGUUGCUUCGGCGCGCGCUUCGGCGCCGCCGAGGACACUUAAACUCUUUGUUUUUAUAAGCAUUUCUGAGUGGCCGAAAAGCAAAAAUACAAAUGAAUCAAAACUUUCAACAACGGAUCUCUUGGUUCUGGCAUCGAUGAAGAACGCAGCGAAAUGCGAUAAGUAAUGUGAAUUGCAGAAUUCAGUGAAUCAUCGAAUCUUUGAACGCACAUUGCGCCCGCCAGCAUUCUGGCGGGCAUGCCUGUUCGAGCGUCAUUUCAACCCUCGAGCCCGACUCUUUUGAGGACGGCUCGGCGUUGGGGGACGGCAGACUCCCCCCGGCAUCUCGCCGGGGACGCCGCCCCCGAAAUCUAGUGGCGGCCCUCCGAGGCGACCUCUGCGUAGUAACUUGUUCUCGCACCGGAAAGCUCAGAGCGGCCACGCCGUAAAACCCCAACUUUUUUCAGGUUGACCUCGAAUCAGGUAGGACUACC